CGCAGCUCAACCCUUGGAAGAUGGGGACAGUGGAGGUUCCAGAAUUUCUAUGUGGGUUUAGGGGCCGCCAUCUAGUGGGAAGGGGCCUAAAGUGCUUGUCCUCUGGCUGGUUCGCAGAGCAUUGGACUCUGGAUUGUCUACGCCAAAGGGAAUGCUCAGGCCCGGAGAAAGACUUGAGGGCUUUCUUCAGAAACCUAUUUACCCACCAAAGUUCUCCUGUAUAAUUGCCUGGGUAGGGCUGUCAUGAGGAUUAAGUGAACAGCGCAUGAAAAGCCCUCAGCCUCGGAGCCUGGCCCUGCAAGCACACUAUAUUAGUUCCAAUCAUUUCCACAGCUCUGAUACAAUUUUCCAAUUUCAGAAGCCGCCCACUGAUCACAGCCUGCAAAAGGGAGCGAUGAAUGUGAAUCGGGGAGGAGAGAUGCGGCCAAAGCGCUAGCCUGAUGCUCCGCGCAUCCCUGGGAGUAAAGCAAGAGAACACGGACUACAUCUCCAGGGCUGUCGGCCUUUUCUCCAUUCAUCCAUUCAACUCACUCUUCCACUCGGCAGACCUAUCUUAAGGAUUUAGCAGGUUCCAAUCUCAGCACAGGGCUGGGGCCACUGUGUGGAAAGGAACAGAUGGGGUCCCUGCCCUCAUGGAGAUAACGUUCCUGCGGGGAAGACAGACAGUAAAGCAGUCAACACCAGAG